rnacentral:rRNA from 1 species
UACGGAGGGUGCAAGCGUUAUCCGGAUUUACUGGGUUUAAAGGGUGCGUAGGUGGGUCUGUAAGUCAGUGGUGAAAUCUUCGAGCUUAACUCGGAAACUGCCAUUGAUACUAUAGGUCUUGAAUUAUCUGGAGGUAAGCGGAAUGUGUCAUGUAGCGGUGAAAUGCUUAGAUAUGACAUAGAACACCAAUUGCGAAGGCAGCUUACUACGGAUCGAUUGACACUGAGGCACGAAGGCGUGGGGAUCAAACAGG